CAUUAUGUUUUGACAGUAUGAAAUGAAGAAAAACACUCAUCAAACUCAUAAUAAUUCGUCAGCUUUUAUUUUUUGUGUACAUAACUCAUAUUUUAGAUAUAUAUAAUUAUCUGACCCGGAAUCCCAAUCGGAAUAGCUACCCACUUUUGGUACAAAAAAAUUGUAUGUGAAGGAUAUGCCAUUUCAAAAUUUGUAAAAAGAUCAGUUACGUUACUAUUAUUUGGACUAGUGCUUCAAGUGUUUGAUUUAUUGUCUCUAUAAUGUAUAAUGCACCUGUCAAUUGUAGAGCCAAGCUGGGAGCUGCCUAAAAAUCAGUUACCCAGUUAGCUCAGUUUGACAGAUCUCCAUGCAAGUGUUCACAUGGUCGUGGGUUCAAGCACCAUACCAGUAGCAUCUUUUCUCAAAGGUUUACUUUAGAACCCAUCAUCCAUGAGUAAACAAUUAUGAUUUUUUUAUUAAAUAUUACAGGCCAUGUUCUUUUGUAAACUUUCAGAUUGAGAAGUGCCUGGAUACAAGGCUAGUAUUGUUAACAUCAUCUGAUACAAUCAACUGGAACAAAGCUGAAAUGGCUGCCUGACCUGACUUAAAAAUUGGAUGGCAGUACAUCAGACUAGAAGAUUACAAGUAUUGAGGUGGACAAAAUGAAACCUGAGCCUACCAAAGCUGACAGAUUGCACAAGAAACACAUAAAUGCAGAUUGGAAGAUUCAUUCUCUGGAAAGUAGAAAAGGGCAUGUUACAUACUGUUAUCACUGCCAUGACAGAAACCAUAUUGAGGAGCUGGUCCACCUGUAGGAAGAAUUGCGCUAUUGGUUGGAGCAGCACUAUUACCCAGCCAUACACCAGCACUUAGUUUGUCAUAGGGAGCAUUUCUGAGCAGUUAUGGAGACCACUAACUAUGCAGUUGUUGCAGUGAAACUUGCACCAGUGUGUUUUCUGUGGAGAUAAAGAGAUAGUGUCCAGCAAUGAAGACCCAACUCAAGAUCUGACCUUGUAAGGCCAAUAUGAAAUAACUGUGUGGGAAAAUGGGAAAAACCUGCAGUCAGGAAUGCACGAAAUCAUCAAAAGAACAGUGUUAAAUUAAUCUUGAAUAACUUGACAUUUAUUUUGUUUGACAUAUUUAUUCAUGGUGCAGUGAAAACAUUCUUUUUUCUCAUGGUUAUUUAAAUUUAGAAUUGAU